rnacentral:misc_RNA from 1 species
GUAGGUGAACCUGCGGAAGGAUCAUUUCCGAAAAAACAUAACCAAUCAACCCCACUGAGAGAAAUGAAGGUGGAGGGAAGGAAAGGAAGGGGAGUGAGAGUAAGGGAAUUUAAUUUCUUUUUCUCUUGUCUCUUUUCGUCUUCUCUUUGCUUUUGUUUUCUUUUUGUUCAUGUGUACUUGAUAUGUUUACUCGUAUCAUUUUAGUCCAAGUGUCUCCUUUUUUUUACUCUCGAAGACUUCUUUAUUGUAA